UUGGCUCUCGGGGUGAGGACAUCUGGC
rnacentral:piRNA from 1 species